GUGGCUCGCCCUGCCCCUGGGCUGCACUGGCUGGAGGUGGGUGCAGCCCUGGGCAGCCACACACAGUGACACGCAGUGACAGUGGCUGCUGCCGACAGGCCCUGCAGAGCCAUCAGGCGUCCUGUGCGAUGCUCCCACACAUU